rnacentral:lncRNA from 1 species
GAUCAGCUUGUGAGUGUGGUAAUUGUGGUAGGGCACAAAUAUUCUCAGUGCAAGUUUGGCUCCAUCUUAGGUCUCAAAAGUCCCCAGUCCCCGAGAUACAUGUGUUGCCUAGCAGGGAUGUCAGCCUCUCUGCUGCUAACAUGGCUUCUACAUUACUAUCGGCCCAGGCAUUCCUCAGCUAUACAGCCAGGCUCUCCUUCCUACCCAUGUCCUAGCAAAGAAGCAAGCUCCUCAUCUGGUUUGCAAUUGGAUGAUGCUGCAGGUUGGAGAGGCGGUGGGUGACCUGAUGGAACAGAGUAGGUCAGGAAGGAAAUGGAUGAAAGCAGGAGGCGUAGAUAGGAAUUGCUCCUCCAAGACUGACUCCCUAGCCUGCAGUCCAUCAGGGUGGCUGUGGUGCCUCGGCUUUAUUGAGUGGCACGAGCCUCUUUCCCCAUGGGAACUCUACAAGCUGCUUUUUUGGCCUGUUUGAAAUUGCUGAAUGAGCUAAUACAGAAUGCAUUGUCUGCUGAGCUGGCAGAGUUUUCCAGCAAAAUUUUUAUCAUUCUGUAGACUGAUCGUGCUUGCCUGAAAUAAGGAAGAAAAUGUUUGAAACCUCUCAAGGGCAUUUGAUGAAUCCAACUCUAAUUUAAAGGGACUAAUAGAUUAUUGAUUUAAAGCAGGGUGAUGGUGAGCAGAUCAAUGGCUGAGUCAUCUGUAUCCACCUUAAAUACCAAAGGUGUUCAGGGAAAGGGGUUCCACCUUAAAUACUAAAACUGUCCUAGGAAAGAGAGCCACCUCUGUCCCCCACUGAUUCGCACCUCUUUGUGGGAAGCCAAGUAAGCAGGCAAGUAGGAAGAACUCUGAUAAACUCAGCCAGUGUUUUUGUGCUAUAUUGCUAAAGACCAAGCAGUUGUACUGAAAUCUUCCUCUUCUUCUAUCUUGGUGCCACUUCCUGGUGUUCCUUCUAGAGCAUGCUUUGUAAUGUUUGCCUAUAGCUAACUAUGGUUCUACUGAAAAUUUCAUUUUGUUCCCUUUGGUUUCCUGUCACUUUAAGCAGUGUAGGUCACAUAGAGGAAAUAUAAAACCACAGACUAUACUUUUUUUUUUUUUAAGUUCUGGGAUUCAACCCAUUGUCCCAUGGAUACUAGGCAAAUACCCUACCAUUUAAUUAGAAGAGAUUUUUGGGAAGUUUUUUUUUUUUUUUUAUAAUUUUGAGGCAGGAUCUCUUGAGUUUUCUAGAUUGGGCUUUGAACUCAUUUUCUAGCCCAGGCCCAGCUUGGGCUAACCAUCUUCCUCUCCUGCCACAGCUUCCUAAGAAGCUGGGAAGAAAGCCAGACCUGCCGCACCAUGUCUUGCUCAUCUGGAGCUUCACACAGCAUAUGACUUAGUCUGGCAUGAUUCAGUCCUCCUGGCUUCAACUAACUGGGCACAAAAUGAGGGUGUGAGAGUCCUUUGUACUGUGGAGAAUCCAAGUCUAGCACUCUGUUGCUUGCUUGGAAGAGAUUUCCUCUCCUGAAGGGGUUUCAGAAAAGCCUUCUCAGUUUAUUCAUGGUGCUCAUCAAAAGAAGGCUCUUCUCAGCAUCUUUAAAAUGUUGAAAUGUUUAGGGUUUUAGUACAUCUACAGGCCUCUCUUUACUCUUCUGUGUCUCACAUUGUGUGGGAAUUGCUCACUUCCUGUUCUGUUUCCUCAGGAGGAAGAUAAAAUGCCAGGUUCCCUUCAGGACAGGUAUUGAAAUGGUGUAUUUAUAGAAAGUCUUCAUCCACUUUUGAGAUUCAGGGCAUGGCUAUGACAACUGAGUCCAUCCAACCCUGAUAGAACUCUUCACUACUCUCUGAGACAAGCCAGAGUAGGUGUUCAAUGGAAGCUUAUGCCUCAUUCACAUGAAGAGUGUUCCUAUUGAUGGAUCUGCCGAGCUGUUGAUGUAAAAGCAGAAGCACACACACAUCAACCCAACCUAGAUGAUGUGCAUGGGAGCAAAGGCCAUGAGUGGGGGCAGCCUUCCUAGAAGUUGGUUGAUCAACAUGAAUUAAACACUAACAAAAGUGUUUUGAAAUAUCAUCUUUGUUAAACUUAAUAAUUACAGUUCUGACAAUUUAUCCUAAAAAAAUGGAUGGAAAUACACUGAGAUGAUCUGUGAGAUCCUUUGGAGGAAAAAUACUAACAAGGAACUACAGUCAUGAUGUCAUAAACUAAACAGUGCCCCAGUCUCAGUAUAAUUCCACAUUAGUAAGCAAACAAAGGCAUUUCGAGCAUGGAAAAAAGUCUUUUAGGGAUGCCCCAAGACCACAGAGGGUAUCUAAGUGAAGAGACUGUGAAACGUGUACCUAGGAGCUCACGCACCCUCAUGCCUCAACUUUCUUACAAUUUUACAAAGAUGAAUGUACUAAGUGCAACAGGUACCAUUUCCUGUCGCUGCCAGGAUUCCUGUCAGCUUUAGGACGGACACAGAGGAGUGUGAGAAUGUUUGCCAUUAGGACUUACUCUUGGCAAGUCUCAGCAACGUCCCAAGCCAGUCCCUUCCUGUCUGCUGGACCCUUGGCACCUCUGGACCACAAUCCCCAGAGCCAGGGCUUCUGUGUGCCAGAAGAAGUAGACACUCAAGAUUAAUGUCUUCAUCUCUGUCCUCAGAUCUAACCUGUAAAGAUUAUAAUGGAUUUAUCUACUAGGACUCAUGACACCCCAGUGAAUUCAUUUGAAGAUUCCUAUGAAUUAUGAAAAUACUAUAAUUAUAGUUGAUUCUGUUCCAAAGGGCUAAUUACUUUUUUAAGGAAGCAAAUGAGUAUAAGAGUGCUUUUUUAUUUCAAAUUUUAUCAUGUAACUACUUAGAAGAGCACUUAGUGUUUAAAAAGAAGUGGGGGAGGGAAAAGUUCAUGAAUUAGUUCACUCAGUAUUUAUUGAUCAUCUACUCUAUAGGAAGACCCAGUCCUGGCACACAGCUAGAAGUACAGCAUCUAGGGUUCCUGGCCUCACAAUACUCUAAGUGUGGGGAACAAUUGUAAAAUAUAAAGUUAUAAACAAAAAAUCUUUUCUAAAGUUUGGCAACAGUUAAAAUUUUAUAGAAAAUAAGAUGAAAUAAUAUGACCCAAUGAACAGGAAUAGGAAGGGGCCUUUCUUAAGUUUUCUUCUAUCCCUUGGUUUUGUGUUGGGAAUUGACCCCAUUCUGUCAUACAUGCUAAGCACAAGCUCUACCACUGAGCCACACUGCCUUCCACAGUGAGGACACUUUCAUUACAGCAGUCACCUCUGAGAGAAUGACACUCACUCUGAGAGAUAGGUGAUGGAUAACAGCCAAUCCUGAUGGUCUUGGUAGGUGAGGAAAAUGGCUAGUCUGCUUAUUUGAUCACCUGUCUGGCACAGAUCUGACAAUGCUCCUAGCCCAGGAGAGCACUUGGGAUCAAGCCUGGGUCUCCCCUACAAGGCUGUAGUUACAGACACUGCUGUAGAGGUGGUGUCUCACAUUGCUAUGCAAGCUUAUCUUGUUCAAAAGAAGAAUUGAAAGUGAUUAUUUAGACCUCAUCCAAUGAGGGAAUCAUGGGAGGUGAAUCUCUUGCUGAGGGGAUGUCAUGAAAGCCCACGUACUGUCAAAGUAUGGUAAGGAGUCUGACCUCAUCAGUGAUUGUUGGAGGGCUUUCAUGGACAGAUGACAGAUGUAGUACAAGAGUGGCAAGUGUGGGCUCGGGUAGACUGAGGAAAAGACCACAGCAGCCAAGCCAACUAUGCACAAUCAGGCUCAGCAAGUGGAGGAGCCUGAGUGCUACAGCUGUGGCUGCAGAAGAAACUUGUCCAAAGAGCAUCUCACCAGCUCAAUUCUGAGCAGUGCAACAACUAGAAACCUGAUCAUCUUGGGAAUACUCUGUGUAUUGUGGAGCUAUUUGGAGAGUGGAAGAUUCUGGAACUGCAUUUGAUUCCUUCCAGUUAGGCUCCUCGUAUCGUAAGGGCUCUGUUGGCCAGCAGUGAGCAAAGGGCAGUUCCUAUGCUGACUUUGGUGGAAGAACAGUCUAGUCCAAGCUCUACAGGUUUCCAUUUCAGUGGCAUUUGAGUGGUUUGAUAAUAAAAAUAGAGAUCAUGUGGUUUAUAGUCUGCAAUAAAAAAAGCCAUGCAUGGUGGCAUUACCAUCAGGGAGGCACCAGCAAAGAGUUGCAAGUUUGAGGCUAGCUGGGCCUAUAAUAGCAACCCCCUUUCCUCAGAAAAAUAAACAAAUGUUCAGAAUACAUAUGUGCACAAGUUAAAAGUUAGUUGCAACCUACACUACCUCCAACAUGAACUGCACCCUGACCUGGGGCUUUAUGAAAGUAGACCUUUUCCUAAGCUCUGGGUUAUUGGUGCUGCAGGCCCAGGGCCAGCUCAAAGCAGCGCAGAGCUUUCCCAAAAUCAUGGCCUUUAUUCAUUAUGGCCAUACCGAAAAAACUCAGCCACAUAGACCUACAGGGCCAAGCUUCAACAUUUUUUUAUUUUGUCAUG